rnacentral:lncRNA from 1 species
GGGGUAGUUAGGGAAUGGGCCUCUAGUGGUCACGAGAGGGUGGUCCACUCGCCGGUGUCGAUUUCAUAUUGGCCAUUUGAUUAUUGAUAUUGAUAUUAUGCAGAGCUCUAUCAUUGUGCAUAGUAGGUGGGUCAAGUGCCCAAUGAAAUGAAAGGUUUUAAAGGAAAUGAUUUCGAGUCGACUUUGAUGAAUAUUGGAAUAUGAUGCUUCCUUAUCGUAAUGUUUAAAGUAAAUGGUAUAGUAGCAUACAUCAUUAUUAUUCAUGUUCAUGAC